AAAGGAACACUGCACUGACUCUUCGGCUCUAUUGAUAAGCAAACUCCUUCUGAGGUACUGACAUACUUGAAGGGUCUGAAGGCCUCCAUCAAGACAACCUUAGAAACACCCAGCAGGGCCAAAACACCAUACACCUAAAUCAAGGUUCAUUGAAGGCACUACACCUCACGACAAGUAUGGUGACACAAAGUUACUACAAUGGAGGUGAUAGAUAUU